rnacentral:lncRNA from 1 species
GAAAGUCAUGUUAAGGGAGGAGUGUAAAUCUCUCCCGAAAACCACCCUAGGUGUUUUGUUGUUGUUUUGUUUUUUAAAGGAAUCCAUCCACAAGGCAAUGAGUUAUGGGUGAAGAAGAGAUAAACGCAUGCGGGAGGGAUGCCUCCACUGUCCAUCCUGCCCUCAAGUUAUCCAAAGACCUUCAGACCAGAGGCCACGCUCCCUCACCUCAUACAGCAGCUGCCACUGGGCUGGGAAGAGGCACAAGGACUGUCCCCGAUGGAUGCUGUGGGAGCCUGUGAAAUUAGCAAGGUUCAGACUUUAGCCUCGAAGUAG